rnacentral:siRNA from 1 species
GGGGUGGUGGCGCAGUUG